rnacentral:rRNA from 1 species
UUGCACGCUGGCGGCAUGCUUUACACAUGCAAGUCGAACGGCAGCGCGGGCUUCGGCCUGGCGGCGAGUGGCGAACGGGUGAGUAAUGCAUCGGAACGUGCCCAGUAGUGGGGGAUAGCCCGGCGAAAGCCGGAUUAAUACCGCAUACGACCUGAGGGUGAAAGCGGGGGACCGAAAGGCCUCGCGCUAUUGGAGCGGCCGAUGUCGGAUUAGCUAGUUGGUGGGGUAAAGGCUUACCAAGGCGACGAUCCGUAGCUGGUCUGAGAGGACGACCAGCCACACUGGGACUGAGACACGGCCCAGACUCCUACGGGAGGCAGCAGUGGGGAAUUUUGGACAAUGGGGGCAACCCUGAUCCAGCCAUGCCGCGUGCGGGAAGAAGGCCUUCGGGUUGUAAACCGCUUUUGUUCGGGAAGAAAUCCUCUGGGCUAAUACCCCGGGGGGAUGACGGUACCGGAAGAAUAAGCACCGGCUAACUACGU